rnacentral:tRNA from 1 species
GAGGAAAGUCUCUCCAGAGGAAAGCAGUGAAGGGUUCACAACACAAGCCCUGAAGUUGCCCCACAGUCAGAGCCCAGAUCUUUUGAAUCUGAAAUCCUCUGAAGCUCCCAGCCAGCGCUGAGGGUACAGAAGAAACUCCUGAGAUCCAACCACAGCUCUGCAGCUCCUUCCUGGAUUUCUGGAAGGAAUUUUGGGCAAAAGGAAGGUGGAAAAAGGGGGAAAAGAGGAAAAGAGAGGGGGCACCUGGAGUUGAACCAGGGACCUCUUGAUCUGCAGUCAAAUGCUCUCCCACUGAGCUAUACCCCCUGUUACAGCCUCAGCUCCAUAAAACAUCUAAGGGAUGUUUAUUCCCAAAUUCCUGAGCUCUCUGUUCCUCAGGGAUCGGCUCCUGCUGCAAAACCUGCGGGGCUGCACCAUCCACUGCUUCCCUUCCCUGAACUUCCCUUCCCUGAACUUCCCUAAACUUCCCUGAACUUCCCUGAACUUCCCUGAAAUUCCCUGAACUUCCCUGAACUUCCCUUCCCUGAACUUCCCUUCCCUGAACUUCCCUUCCCUGAACUUCCCUUCCCUGAACUUCCCUUCCCUGUCCCAUUCCCAUUCCCACUCAGAACCUCUGUGGAAUCUCUGACUUUUCCCCCUCUCUUCCACCUCUGCCCACAAAGAAAAGAGGGGACAGGG